rnacentral:lncRNA from 1 species
UCAUAUCACUAAAAUCGAAGGGAUGCCACUAUACUUGUUGCAACAAGUAGGAUUUGAAUUAAAAAGUCUACUCCAAAAUAGAUUGGUCCUUCGUUAAUAUCCAGUAGUUGUAGUAGUAUGGACACAUUGAAGCUGAUUUCUCAACCCUGGGGUAUCUAACCACUCUCCAAUUAUCAUAGAGUAUAGUCAAGUUGCCAACAUGAAACCAAAGACUUUUAAGUUGUACUCAACUGUAAUGGCCC